GAUUAACGCUGGCGGCGUGCCUAAGACAUGCAAGUCGAAUGGGUUUAGACCCAUGGCGAACGGGUGAGUAAUGCAUCGGAACGUGCCCAGUCGUGGGGGAUAACGCAGCGAAAGCUGUGCUAAUACCGCAUACGAUCUGUGGAUGAAAGCGGGGGACCUUCGGGCCUCGCGCGAUUGGAGCGGCCGAUGUCAGAUUAGGUAGUUGGUGGGGUAAAGGCUCACCAAGCCGACGAUCUGUAGCUGGUCUGAGAGGACGACCAGCCACACUGGGACUGAGACACGGCCCAGACUCCUACGGGAGGCAGCAGUGGGGAAUUUUGGACAAUGGGCGCAAGCCUGAUCCAGCAAUGCCGCGUGCAGGAAGAAGGCCUUCGGGUUGUAAACUGCCUUUGUACGGAGCGAAAAGGCUCCCUCUAAUACAGGGGGCUCAUGACGGUACCGUAAGAAUAAGCACCGGCUAACUACGUGCCAGCCGCCGCCGUAA
rnacentral:rRNA from 1 species